AGUGAACGCUGGCGGUAGGCCUAACACAUGCAAGUCGAACGGCAGCACAGUAAGAGCUUGCUCUUACGGGUGGCGAGUGGAGGACGGGUGAGGAAUACAUCGGACUCUACUUUUUCGUGGGGGGUAACGUAGGGAAACUUACGCUAAUACCGCAUACGACCUACGGGUGAAAGCAGGGGAUCUUGGGCCCUUGCGCGAUUGAAUGAGCCGAUGUCGGAUUAGCUAGUUGGCGGGGUAAAGGCCAACCAAGGCGACGAUCCGUAGCUGGUCUGAGAGGAUGAUCAGCCACACUGGAACUGAGACACGGUCCAGACUCCUACGGGAGGCAGCAGUGGGGAAUAUUGGACAAUGGGCGCAAGCCUGAUCCAGCCAUACCGCGUGGGUGAAGAAGGCCUUCGGGUUGUAAAGCCCUUUUGUUGGGAAAGAAAAGCAGCAGGUUAAUACCCCGCUGUGCUGACGGUACCCAAAGAAUAAGCACCGGCUAACUUCGUG
rnacentral:rRNA from 1 species